CACAGACAACCAGGAUGUUGGCUUAGAAGCAGCCACUCAUUCAAAGAGUGCGUAAUAGCUCACUGGUCGAGUGAUCCUGCGCCGAAGAUUUCCGGGGGUAAAGCUUACUACCGAAGCUACGGCAUCAGGACUGAUGGGUGGGGGGGAGUCCCAUGCGGGUUGAAGCAGGACCGUAAGGACAGGUGGGAAGUAUGGGAGUGAGAAGGUUGGCAGGAGUAGCGAGAUGUGGGUGAGAAUCCCACAGGCCGUAAACCCAAGGUUUCCAGGGGAAGGUUCGUCCGCCCUGGGUUAGUCGGGACCUAAGCUGAGGCCGAAAGGCGUAGGUGAUGGACAACAGGUUGAUAUUCCUGUACUACCGAUAACCGUUUGAGAGAAGGGAUGACACAGUAGGAUAAGC
rnacentral:rRNA from 1 species